rnacentral:rRNA from 1 species
GACGAACGCUGGCGGCGUGCCUAACACAUGCAAGUCGAACGAAGUGGCGAACGGGUGAGUAACGCGUAAUCAACCUGCCCUUCAGAGGGGGACAACAGUUGGAAACGACUGCUAAUACCGCAUACUGAAGGAGGGGAUUGCGUGUGAUUAGCGAGUUGGAGGGGUAACGGCCCAACAAGGCGAUGAUCAGUAGCCGGUCUGGGAAGAUGGACGGCCAAAAUGGGACUGGAGCACGGCCCAAAAUCCUGCGGGAGGCAACAAUGGGGGAACUUCCGCAAUGGACGAAAAUCUGGCGAAGCAACGCCGCGGGGGUGGUAACAGCCUUCAGGUUGUAAAACUCUGUUAAUCGGGGCGCGGUACCGAAAUAGAAAGCCACGGCUAACUACGUGCCAGCAGCCGCGGUAAUAC